GGCUAUGCUUCUCUAUUUUGUUUGCGUUUCAGCCUUUGAUGCCACGGGCAGCUGGUGUUUGGGGUGCUGUGCCAGGUAACCUAAUGCUGGCGUAGGAGCAGCACUUGGGGCUGGAGCUCAAAAUUGCAAAGUUGUGGCAGAGAUUGAUCAUUACAUAGUUGUGAAAUUUAUAUAUAUCCAACUGUAGUCUGCAUUCCUAUUCUGCAUAAACUUCUAUACAAACUCAAUUAAUA